CUACCGCAGAAAAGUCUGCGAAAGAUUCUUGGCCAUAAACCUGCGGUUUUAAAGCAAGAUGACUGCACCAUUUCUUGGCUGGACUUGAGCUUGUUGUUCUUCAUCACUCCUUGGCUGGGUCAGUUUGAUUGCUGCUUCAGAAUACUGAUGUUUCUUAAUCAUCUCCCUUUGUUUUCCGGUUAAGUGACUGGGUGAAUAAUUUGCCACAUAUUCUCUGUUAAUCCACUAUGUUGUGAAAGGACAGUUGAAACAAUACACAUGCUCUUACUUUCACAAAUUUGUCAUUACAGCAUGAUCAGAUUGUUUGCACGUAUCCUGGUUUUGCAUAGACUAAUUCCAUAUUCUUGGGGGGGGGGGCAGUGGGGGGGGGGGGGGCACAGGUGUUGGGGGGGGGGGGAACGGACCAGAAGAAAUUCAUCAUCCUUGGUCCACAGAAAUAAACUGAGCAAGAACACGGUAUCUUUACAUUCUCAAAGGACUAAGGAGGUUUCUCCUGAUACAAUUCCACUUCUCAUUUUCAAAAAAAGUCUGUAUAUAAUCAAUGCACUUAACUUAAAGCUUUAAGUUUUAGUAACUUCAUUUAGACUUUGUUUAUAAAACAAACACACACAAG
rnacentral:lncRNA from 1 species